rnacentral:rRNA from 1 species
AUAACUAUUGGAAACGAUGGCUAAUACCGCAUAAUAGCUUCGGCUCAAAGAGGGGACCUUUUAGGCCUCUCGCGUCAGGAUAUGCCCAGGUGGGAUUAGCUAGUUGGUGAGGUAAGGGCUCACCAAGGCGACGAUCCCUAGCUGGUCUGAGAGGAUGAUCAGCCACACUGGAACUGAGACACGGUCCAGACUCCUACGGGAGGCAGCAGUGGGGAAUAUUGCACAAUGGGCGCAAGCCUGAUGCAGCCAUGCCGCGUGUAUGAAGAAGGCCUUCGGGUUGUAAAGUACUUUCAGCAGUGAGGAAGGCAGGUGUGUUAAUAGCGCAUUCGUUUGACGUUAGCUACAGAAGAAGCACCGGCUAACUCCGUGCCAGCAGCCGCGGUAAUACGGAGGGUGCGAGCGUUAAUCGGAAUUACUGGGCGUAAAGCGCAUGCAGGUGGUGUGUUAAGUCAGAUGUGAAAGCCCGGGGCUCAACCUCGGAAUAGCAUUUGAAACUGGCAGACUAGAGUACUGUAGAGGGGGGUAGAAUUUCAGGUGUAGCGGUGAAAUGCGUAGAGAUCUGAAGGAAUACCGGUGGCGAAGGCGGCCCCCUGGACAGACACUGACACUCAGAUG